rnacentral:rRNA from 1 species
AGCUUGGAUUUAUUCAAGUGGAAAGUGGCGGACGAGCGAGUAAUACAUAAGAAUCUGCCCUGUACUCGGGGAUAACCUGGCGAAAGUCAGGCUAAUACCGGAUAGUCUCGAAAGAGUAAAGAUUUAUCGGUACGGGAGGAGCUUGUGGCUUAUCAGCUAGUUGGUGGGGUAAAGGCCCACCAAGGCUAUGACGAGUAACUGGUGUGAGAGCACGACCAGUCGCGAUGGGACUGAGACACGGCCCAUACUUC